rnacentral:rRNA from 1 species
GACGAACGCUGGCGGCGUGCUUAACACAUGCAAGUCGAACGGUAAGGCCCCUUCGGGGGUACACGAGUGGCGAACGGGUGCGUAACACGUGAGCAACCUGCCCUUGACUCUGGAAUAACAGUUGGAAACAGCUGCUAAUACUGGAUAUUCAUCGUCUCCUUCCUGGGGGGUGGUGGAAAGCUCCGGCGGUCAGGGAUGGGCUCGCGGCCUAUCAGCUUGUUGGUGAGGUAAUGGCUCACCAAGGCUUCGACGGGUAGCCGGCCUGAGAGGGCGACCGGCCACACUGGGACUGAGAUACGGCCCAGACGCCUACGGGAGGCAGCAGUGGGGAAUAUUGCACAAUGGGCGCAAGCCUGAUGCAGCAACGCCGCGUGCGGGAUGACGGCCUUCGGGUUGUAAACCGCUUUCAGUAGGGACGAAGGGUGACUGACGGUACCUACAGAAGAAGGACCGGCUAACUACGUG